rnacentral:tmRNA from 1 species
ACAGUGACUGGACCGCUACCGCGCAGUGCCGUACGAAGCGCGGAGGUCGAGUAGCGAUAGCACGGCUACGCACGUAGAAGGCUUGACUGGAUCUGAGCGGACCCGGGUUCGAUUCCCGGCACCUCCACUA